rnacentral:lncRNA from 1 species
UUGUUAGACGCUGGAUCCUUGCUCUAGGUGUGAGCAGGAUCCUUACUCUCAUUGAGAGGAUAGCACACUGAGUUGGGGCAAUUUUCUGGGUUUAUUUCUCACACAAUGCUAUGCCAACCUGAGGGGUUGGGGAUACAUAUUUAUAGGGCUGUUAACCAGCCAGCAUAUGCCAAGAUGCUAGUCUAAGAUGCUAACUGCUGUCCUAAAAGCAGUCAAGAUGCUGUCCUACAGAUGCUAACUGCUGUCCUAAAAGCAGUCAAGGAUGCUGUCCUACACAAGGACCAUGUGCUGCCUACUGCAGCCCACAACCACCAGCCAACAGAGACUUAUCCAUCAUUCUCCCCCUAAGUCUUGUGUGGCUCCUUGUGGGGUAUCUGAGCCAUCCCGAUCCUGGUGCGAAAUUCCUGGAACUUGACUCGCCCAAGGGACUUGGUCAGAAAGUCGGCGAGCUGGUCUUGGGUGUUGAUGUAGUUGGCCCGAACGCUCCCUUCCUCCAGGCAGCUCCUGAUGAAGUGAUACUUCACCCGGAUGUGCUUGCUGCGCUCAUGGAAGACUGGGUUCUUCGCCAAGGCCAAGGCGGACUUGCUGUCCACCCUGAGCUCCACUGCCUCUGCGUCUCUGCCAAGGAGAUCGCCAAGCAGCCGAGCCAGCCACAGAGCCUGAGUAGAAGCGGUAGUGGCUGCGAUGUAUUCUGCCUCGCAGCUGGACAGAGCCACCACCUGCUGCUUUACCGACUGCCAGCUGAUCGGACACUUGCCGAGGAAGAAGAGCGUCCCGCUGGUGCUCUUGCUCGUGUCGAUGUCGCCGGCGUGGUCGCUGUCACUGUACCCGAUGAAAUGUGCCGCACCGGGGCACCUCGGGUAGUGCAGACCGUAGUCGGAGGUGCCCGCGACGUAGCGGAGGAUCCUCUUCACGGCCUGCUGGUGCUCCGUCGUCGGUCGCUGCAUGAACCGACUGACGUAGCCGACGGCGAACGCCAAGUCCGGUCGCGUGUGGACAAGGUAGCGAAGGCUGCCCACAAUACGCCGGUACUGCGUCGCGUCCACCUCUUCCUCCGUACUCUCCCGACUCAGCCUCAGCCUCUCCUCCAUAGGAGUGUGGGCUGGGUUGCAGCCGGUGAGACCGCCCAGCUCCACAAUGCGCUUGGCGUAGGCUGUCUGGCGGAGAGAGGUGCCGGAGCUGUCCUGGUGGACCUCGAUCCCCAGGUAGAAGGAGAGAGGGCCCAAGUCGCUCAUCUGGAAGGUCGCCCUCAUCUUCUCCUUGAACGCCUCGAUCUCCACCUCCUCGGUGCCGGUGAUCACAAGAUCAUCGACGUAGACACCCACCAGCAGGGCCUUUCGUCCCCUGCCCCGCCGGUAGAUGGCCGCCUCGUGCGGGCUUUGCUCGAAGCCCAUCCCCUUCAUUGUGGAAUCCAGUUUGGCAUUCCACGCCCUCGGUGCCUGCCGCAAGCCAUAGAGGGCCUUGCGCAGACGAAGCACCUUGCCUUCCUUGCCGGGAAUCACAAAUCCCGGCGGCUGGUGCACGUAGACCUCCUCCUUCAAAUCGCCGUUAAGGAACGCCGACUUGACAUCCAUGUGAUGGACACGCCAGCCCUCCUGGGCAGCUAGCGCAAGGAGAAGUCGCACGGACUCCAUCCGUGCUACGGGGGCGAAGGCGUCGUCGAAGUCGACCCCCUCCUGCUGCACGAAACCUCGAGCCACCAAGCGAGCCUUGUGCUUGACGAUGGCACCGGCUUCAUCCCUCUUCAGCUUGAACACCCACUUAAGGGUGAUCGCGCUGUGACCACGAGGGAGAUCAGCAAGCUCCCAAGUGCGGUUCUGCUCGACCGCGUCCAUCUCCUGCUGCAUCGCGGCACGCCAUGCCGCGUCUCCCUCCGCCUCAGCGAAGGAGCGAGGUUCACCGUCCUCGUGUGCCAGGUGCAGCUCCGCCUCGAAGUCGUGUACCGCUAACCCAGGGACACGUUGGUUACCGAGGAUGUUGUCCAUGGUGCGGUAGCGUAGAGGCUCAUCGUCGUGGUAGGCGUCGAUGCGAUCCUCGUCGCCGGACAGUGGAGUGGCGAACUCCACCGAACGCUGACGGACCAAAGCUGCUGGUGCCGACCUUGGAGUUGCCGGUGCCGGUGCAGGAGAGUGGGGAGCCGGUGCAGGAGUGCGUGGUGUAGCCGGUGGUGUUGGACUCGCUGGUGGUGAAGGCGGUGGUGGGCUCGCCGAAGCUGAUGGCGAGCUGAGUGCCGAGGAGGGCGAGCUCGGUGAGGACGAGCUGCUAGCUCCCCCGGCUCCCUCCAAGUGAACGUAGUCGACGGCGAAGUCCCUGAGGGUCGAAGCCGAGCCGUCGUCCACCGCCUUGUCCCAAGUCCAGCCUCACCCUUCAUCGAACACGACGUCCCGGGAGAUGCGGACGCGCUGUGUCACAGGGUCGAGGAUGCGGUAGGCCUUGGCGCCCUCCGCAUAGCCGAUGAACACUCCUGGAGUGCUGCGGUCGUCGAGCUUGCCGACGUGAGUGAGCUCCUUGGCGAACGCCAGACAACCGAAGAUGCGGAGGUGGCUCACCACCGGCUUGCGCCCGUGCCAAGCCUCGUACGGCGUCAUGCCGUCAAGCGCCUUGGUGGGCGAGCGGUUGAGGAGAUGGAUAGCGGUCAUCACCGCCUCUCCCCAGUAGAUCGCCGGCAUCCCUCUCUGCUUGAGGAGGGCGCGGGCGGUGGCGACCACCGUCUGGUUGCGGCGCUCGACGACGCCGUUCUGCUGCGGGGUGUACGGCGCGGUGAAGUGGCGCUGGAUCCCCUCGUCGGCGCAGUGCGCCGCGAACUCAGCCGCCGUGAACUCGCCGCCGUUGUCCGUGCGCAGCACCCGAAGCUUGCGGCCGCACUCCUUCUCCGCAGCAGCUUGGUGGUGCCUGAUGGCGUCCGCGGCUGCCCCCUUGGUGUCGAGGAGGACAGCCCACAUGUAGCGGGACGCGUCGUCGACGAGGAGGAGGAAGUAGCGUCGUCCUCCAGGUGUAGCCGGUGUCACGGGGCCGCAAAGGUCGCCGUGCACGAGCUCCAGCUUCUCCUUGGCGCGGAAGCUUGCUUGGCGGGGAAAGGGCAGCCGUCGCUGCUUGGUGAGGACGCAGGUGUUGCAGAACUGCUCCACGUGGUCGACGCACGGCAUGCCCUGCACCAUCUCCUUGUUGCCGAGCUGCUUCAGGGCCUCGAAGUUGAGGUGCCCAAAGCGCUCGUGCCACCGCCAGGCUUCAUCGUCUCGCCGAGCUGCAAGGCAAAAAGGUUGCGCCACCUGUACGUGAAGGACGUAGAGGCGGUUGCUCCCCCUGUUCACCUUGGCGAGAAGUCGGUGACGAGGAUCCCAAAUGCGAAGCACGCCGUCCUUGAUCUCCACGCGCGAGCCAUUCUCAUCCAGCUGUCCCAAGCUGAUGAUGGAGUUCCUCAGCGCGGGGAUGUAGUAGACGCCGGUGAGCAGCCGAUGCUCACCAUUCUUGGCGACGAAGAUUACGGAGCCGGCGCCCUUGAUCUCUACGGCGGAGGCGUCCCCGAACUUGACGGAGCCUCGAACGUUGGAGUCGAGCUCGGAGAAGAACUCCCGCCGGCCUGUCAUGUGGUGGGUGGCGCCGGUGUCGAGGCACCACCCAUCGAUCUUGUCGCUGCCGCCGGACCCGCUGCUGAGGAGGGCGUGUGCCUUGGCCUCGUCGAGGUGGAGAAGAGCCGCUGCAGCCGGUGCUGCUGGAGAUGGCUCGGCGCUAGCAUGUGCCAUGAACAGAGCUGGCUGCUCCUCCUCCGCCUGCGCGACGUGGGCCUGGGCGCGUCGUGGCUGCCUGCAGUCCUUAGCCCAAUGGCCAGCAAGACCACAGUUCCUGCAGCAGUCAUCUUGUGCCGGCUUGGGUUUUUCGGCGGCGGCGCCUUGGACACCUCCGCGGGCACCUCCGUUGGCACGCCCUUGCGCCCCGGCCUGGGCGCCUUUGCGUGACUUGCCGCGCUUGCCACGCUUGCGGCUGGCUGCUGCAGAAGAAGGCUCCCCCUUCUUCUUGUCACCUUGCCCGGCAGCCCACUGCUCCCGGGUGAGAAGGAGCUUGGGCCCCGAGGAGGGUUGUGGCUCGUCAAUGUCGACGACCUUGAGGCGACCUAUCGCCUCCUCGAUCGACAUCGUGGAGAGGUCUAGCAGGGACUCGAUUGAGCGAGCCAUCUGCUUGUACUUCUCGGGGACGCAGCGGAAGAGCUUCUCGACAGCUCUCUCCUCGCUGUAGGUGUUGUCACCAAACUGCACCACUUUCCGCAGCAAAGUGUUGAGACGGAGAGCAAAAUCAUCAACGUCCUCACCUGGCUUGAAGGCCAAGUCCUCCCACUCCUUGCGGAGUUGCUGCAGUGUGGACUUGCGGGCGCGAUCACUGCCGAUGCGUGCUGCAGCAAUGGCGUCCCAAGCAUCCUUGGCAGUCCGCUUGCUGGUAAGUGAGAACUGCAUCUCGGUCGGGACUGCAGCGAUGAGGGCAUUCAGUGCCCGUCGAUCCUGGUCGUAGUCGACGUCGCCGUACCGGACUGCCUCCCACAUGUGCAGCACCUGAAGUCUCACCUUCAUCACCGCAGCCCACUCAACAUAGUUGGUCUUGGUGAGGGUAGGCCACCCACCACCAGGGCCAACGUCCCUGGCAACAGCAUGGUACCCGUGGUAGCCACGGUACCGGUCCGGGGAGAGAGAGCCACGCGGCCUGCGAAGGCCGUGCUCUUCCUCGACCCGUCCACCGCCGUUGCCAUGUGCGCCUCCUCCAGGAGCGUCGCCGGCUCCACCAUGGUACCGGUCCGGGGAGAGAGAGCCACGCGGCCUGCGAAGGCCAUGCUCUUCCUCGACCCGUCCACCGCCGUUGCCGUGCGCGCCUCCUCCAGGAACGCCGCCGGCGCCUCCACGCCUGUCUGGACUGCGGCCACGCUCGUGGGCGUGCACAGCUGCCCACUGCGCCGCUCGCCGGCGUGCUGCAUCUCUCUCCAGCAGCUCCCGGUCUGGGUCAGCACUGUCAUCAGCAGCGAUGGAGCUGCUGUGACUGCUGCGCAGGUCCUCAACCUCCGCUGCCGCUGCACGCGCUGCAUCUGCAGCUGCUGCUGCCUCCACCUCCGCUCUGGCUGCUGCCAGCUCCGCUUGGGCCAGCCUCGACGCCCUCGCUGCUGCUGCAGCGGUCGCUGCCGCUGCUCGCCUGCGCUCCUCUGCUGCAGCGAGGUCGGCCUCCUGCCGACGCCGCGCGCUCGAGGUGCCCGAGUGCUGAGACUGCCCUUCUGCGGCCAUUGCGCGCUGCUGCGCGGAGAGCAGAGGCAGCCGGAACAGCUGCUGCUGCCAGCCGGGGCUGCUGCGAGGCAGGGAGCUCGACUGGAGAAGGGAUUGAGCAGGAAAUGCUUAGGCUACAGGAUACUACAGCUCCGAUACCACUUGUUAGACGCUGGAUCCUUGCUCUAGGUGUGAGCAGGAUCCUUACUCUCAUUGAGAGGAUAGCACACUGAGUUGGGGCAAUUUUCUGGGUUUAUUUCUCACACAAUGCUAUGCCAACCUGAGGGGUUGAGGAUACAUAUUUAUAGGGCUGCUAACCAGCCAGCAUAUGCCAAGAUGCUAGUCUAAGAUGCUAGUCUAAGAUGCUGUCCUACAGAUGCUAACUGCUGUCCUAAAAGCAGUCAAGAUGCUGUCCUACAGAUGCUAACUGCUGUCCUAAAAGCAGUCAAGGAUGCUGUCCUACACAAGGACCAUGUGCUGCCUACUGCAGCCCACAACCACCAGCCAACAGAGACUUAUCCAUCAAUGAUGA